rnacentral:misc_RNA from 1 species
UGCGGAGGGAUCAUUACCGAGUUAUACAACUCAUCAACCCUGUGAACAUACCUAAAACGUUGCUUCGGCGGGAACAGACGGCCCCGUAACACGGGCCGCCCCCGCCAGAGGACCCCCUAACUCUGUUUCUAUUAUGUUUCUUCUGAGUAAAACAAGCAAAUAAAUUAAAACUUUCAACAACGGAUCUCUUGGCUCUGGCAUCGAUGAAGAACGCAGCGAAAUGCGAUAAGUAAUGUGAAUUGCAGAAUUCAGUGAAUCAUCGAAUCUUUGAACGCACAUUGCGCCCGCCAGUAUUCUGGCGGGCAUGCCUGUUCGAGCGUCAUUACAACCCUCAGGCCCCCGGGCCUGGCGUUGGGGAUCGGCGAGGCGCCCCCUGCGGGCACACGCCGUCCCCCAAAUACAGUGGCGGUCCCGCCGCAGCUUCCAUUGCGUAGUAGCUAACACCUCGCAACUGGAGAGCGGCGCGGCCACGCCGUAAAACACCCAACUUCUGAAUGUUGACCUCGAAUCAGGUAGGAAUACCCGCUGAACUUAAGCAUAU